AUGGCGCUUCGUACGCACCUGCUGGUUGAGCGCCAGUGUGUCAGGACGGUGGGAACAGCACAGGACAGACGGAGGACUGUCUUCCUAGGAUUCUCGCACACGCAGCUCAAGGCACCAGACAAGCACGGGUGGCGUCAGGAAUUCUGAUCCUCAGUCUGAGUAAAUCAUCCACAGCAGCUUCUGGGCAAAAAGGCCUGUUACAGUGCCAGCUGGCACAGUACCAGCAGAGGUACCGGGAGGCUGCCUAACCCACUGCCGCACAGUUCAUGACGCUCCCAAAUGGCUGAGUGCAGAGGACUUCCCAUCCGAGAUAUGAACGGUGAAGUAUUAAGUGAAAAAAGAAAAGGAAAGGAAAAACCCCAAAGCACUCAAAGUGUGUAGCUCAGCAAAAUCUACACACAGCACCUGCAUUCUCAAGGAAUGACAACAAGAGGAUGAUGGGGAGGAUGAUGAUAAUGAGGAGGAGGAAGAUGG